CCUACGGGAGGCAGCAGUGAGGAAUAUUGGUCAAUGGGCGCAAGCCUGAACCAGCCAAGUCGCGUGAGGGAUGACGGUCCUAUGGAUUGUAAACCUCUUUUGUCGGGGAGCAAGGCCCGCCACGUGUGGCGGGAAGGAGAGUACCCGAAGAAAAAGCAUCGGCUAACUCCGUGCCAGCAGCCGCGGUAAUACGGAGGAUGCGAGCGUUAUCCGGAUUUAUUGGGUUUAAAGGGUGCGUAGGCGGAAUAUCAAGUCAGCGGUAAAAAUUCGGGGCUCAACCCCGUCGUGCCGUUGAAACUGAUGUUCUUGAGUGGGCGAGAAGUAUGCGGAAUGCGUGGUGUAGCGGUGAAAUGCAUAGAUAUCACGCAGAACUCCGAUUGCGAAGGCAGCAUACCGGCGCCCAACUGACGCUGAAGCACGAAAGCGUGGGUAUCGAACAGGAUUAGAUACCCCAGUAGUC
rnacentral:rRNA from 1 species